UACGAAUGGGGCAAGCGUUGUUCGGAAUCACUGGGCUUAAAGCGUGCGUAGGCGGACCACCAAGUCAGGAGUGAAAUCCCGGGGCUCAACCCCGGAACUGCUUUUGAAACUGGCGGUCUAGAAACCGGUAGGGGUUAGCAGAAUUCCGAGUGUAGAGGUGAAAUUCGCAGAUAUUCGGAGGAAUACCAGUGGCGAAGGCGGCUAACUGGACCGGUAUUGACGCUGAGGCACGAAAGCGUGGGGAGCAAACAGG
rnacentral:rRNA from 1 species